rfam:Ovis aries breed Texel chromosome 12, whole genome shotgun sequence.
UCCCUAAUAGUUCAGUUGGUAAAGAAUCUGCCUACAAUGCAGGAGAUCCUGGUUUGAUUCCUGGGUUGGGAA